AACGAACGCUGGCGGCAUGCCUAAUACAUGCAAGUCGAACGAGACCUUCGGGUCUAGUGGCGCACGGGUGCGUAACGCGUGGGAAUCUGCCCUUGGGUUCGGAAUAACGUCGGGAAACUGACGCUAAUACCGGAUGAUGACGUAAGUCCAAAGAUUUAUCGCCCAGGGAUGAGCCCGCGUAGGAUUAGCUAGUUGGUGGGGUAAGGGCCUACCAAGGCGACGAUCCUUAGCUGGUCUGGGAGGAUGAUCGGCCACACUGGGACGGAGACACGGCCCAGACGCCUACGGGAGGCAGCAGUGGGGAAUCUUAGACAAUGGGCGCAAGCCUGAUCUAGCCAUGCCGCGUGAGCGAUGAAGGCCUUAGGGUUGUAAAGCUCUUUCAGCUGGGAAGAUAAUGACUGUACCAGCAGAAGAAGCCCCGGCUAACUCCGUGCCAGCCGCCGCCGUAAUAC
rnacentral:rRNA from 1 species